GUGGUCACUUUGGCCGCACAUAUACUAAAAGUGAAACAAUACAGAGAAGGUUAGCAUGGCCCCUGUGCAAGAAUGACAUGCAAAUUCAUGAAGCAUUCCAUAGUUUU